AGUCUGGUGCCAGCACCCGCGGUAAUUCCAGCUCCAAUAAGAAAUAUUAAAGUUGUUGCUGUUAAAAAGCUCGUAGUUGAAUUUCUGGGUAUUUUACUAUGAUUCGAUAACUUCGUUUCUUGUAAAGUAUUCAUCUGUCUGUUAAUGAUUGUUGUGAUUAACGUUACUCAUUCAAGCUCAGACAAUUUACUGUGAGAAAAUUAGAGUGUUUCAGGCAAGCUUGGCUGGAAUAGAUUAGCAUGGAAUAAUGGAAUCAAAUGAAAAUCCAUGGUUAAAUGGAGGUUUAUUUAGGAUUAAUAGGAACAAUUGGAGAUGAUAGUAUUUAAUUAUCAGAGGUGAAAUUCUUAGAUUUGUUAAAGACUAACUUAUGCGAAGGCAUUCACCGAGGAUGUUUUCAUUAAUCAAGAACGAAAGUUUGGGGAUCAAAUGAGAUCAGACACCUCAGUAGUCCAAACCAUAAACUAUACCGAUUUAAGAUUGGAGGAGCUUAAAAAACUCCUUCAGCAUUAUAGAGAAAUCAAAACCUUUGGGUUCAGGGGGGAGUAUGGUCGCAAGGCUGAAACUUAAAGGAAUAGACGGAACGACACCACAAGAAGUGGAUCAUGCGGUUUAAUUUGACCCAACACGGGAAAACUUACCAACUCAAGAUUUAGGAAGGAUUGACAGAAUAAAGCUCUUUCUUAAUUCUAAAGAGAGUGGCGCAUGGCCGCCCUAAGCCAGUGAUGUGAAUUGCCUGGUUAAUUCCGAUAACAAGCGAGACCGAAUUCUGCUAACUAGUUUUGUAUUCUUAAAUACUAUAGACUUCUUAGAGGGACAGCUUGUGUUAAGCAUGAGGAAGUUCGGCAAUGGCAGGUCCGGAUGCCCUCAAUGAGUUGGGCAACACGCGUAAUAUAAUGACAGAUUUUAACGAGUUAAUGCCUCGAAAGACGGCAUUUAAUCAGCAAUAUCUGUCGUGAUGGGAAUAGAUCUUUGUAAUUAUAGAUCUUGAGCGAAGAAUUUCUUGUAAGCGUAAGUCAUUAACUUGCGCUGACUAUGUCCCUGUCAUUUGUACUCACCGCCCAUCGCUCCCACUUAUUCGUGAAAUUUUGCGAAUUUAACGGAUUCAAAAGACAUCUUUUGGUGAAGUUACGUAAGCAAAAUUUUAU
rnacentral:rRNA from 1 species